rnacentral:rRNA from 1 species
AUUGAACACUGGCGGCAGGCUUAACACAUGCAAGUCGAGCGGGGUGAUGGUGCUUGCACUAUCACUUAGCGGCGGACGGGUGAGUAAUGCUUAGGAAUCUGCCUAUUAGUGGGGGACAACAUCUCGAAAGGGAUGCUAAUACCGCAUACGUCCUACGGGAGAAAGCAGGGGAUCACUUGUGACCUUGCGCUAAUAGAUGAGCCUAAGUCGGAUUAGCUAGUUGGGGGGGUAAAGGCCUACCAAGGCGACGAUCUGUAGCGGGUCUGAGAGGAUGAUCCGCCACACUGGGACUGAGACACGGCCCAGGCUCCUACGGGAGGCAGCAGUGGGGAAUAUUGGACAAUGGGGGGAACCCUGAUCCAGCCAUGCCGCGUGUGUGAAGAAGGCCUUAUGGUUGUAAAGCACUUUAAGCGAGGAGGAGGCUCUUUUGGUUAAUACCCAAGAUGAGUGGACGUUACUCGCAGAAUAAGCACCGGCUAACUCUGUGCCAGCCGCCGCCGUAA